CUGAGGAGCGAAAGCGUGGGGAGCGAACAGGAUUAAUACCCUGGUAGCCACGCCGUAAACGGUGGAUGCUGGAUGUGGGGCCCGUUCCACGGGUUCCGUGUCGGAGCUAACGCGUUAAGCAUCCCGCCUGGGGAGUACGGCCGCAAGGCUAAAACUCAAAGAAAUUGACGGGGGCCCGCACAAGCGGCGGAGCAUGCGGAUUAAUUCGAUGCAACGCGAAGAACCUUACCUGGGCUUGACAUGUUCCCGACAGCCGUAGAGAUAUGGCCUCCCUUCGGGGCGGGUUCACAGGUGGUGCAUGGUCGUCGUCAGCUCGUGUCGUGAGAUGUUGGGUUAAGUCCCGCAACGAGCGCAACCCUCGCCCUGUGUUGCCAGCACGUCAUGGUGGGAACUCACGGGGGACCGCCGGGGUCAACUCGGAGGAAGGUGGGGAUGACGUCAGAUCAUCAUGCCCCUUACGUCCAGGGCUUCACGCAUGCUACAAUGGCCGGUACAGCGGGAUGCGACAUGGCGACAUGGAGCGGAUCCCUGAAAACCGGUCUCAGUUCGGAUUGGAGUCUGCAACCCGACUCCAUGAAGGCGGAGUCGCUAGUAAUCGCGGAUCAGCAACGCCGCGGUGAAUGCGUUCCCGGGCCUUGUACACACCGCCCGUCAAGUCAUGAAAGUGGGCAGCACCCGAAGCCGGUGGCCUAACCCCUUGUGGGAUGGAGCCGUCUAAGGUGAGGCUCGUGAUUGGGACUAAGUCGUAACAAGGUAGCCGUACCGGAAGGUGCGGCUG
rnacentral:rRNA from 1 species